rnacentral:lncRNA from 1 species
GGAAAGGCUGAUUAGUUGGGUAAGAAUGGAUAACUGAAAUUUGCUUCAUUACUCUUCAACCCUUUUGCGAUGAUAUUUUAGUGAAGUUCAAAAGGCAAAGAGCACAAUUUUAUCUGUAAACUAAGGAUUGUCCCAUUUCAGGAAUCACCUUUUCCCCCCUAAUAUAUCUGUUGUGUAAAUAAAAACACAUAAUUUAUUUGGGGGAAAUAGAAUAGAGGUUUCCCAGACUUUAGGGUAGGAAGAUAAAAUUUUCUUCUCUGUGUAAGUAAUGACCUUAAAUUACAGCAUUUGAAGGUUGAUAAAACUAUACUGGUAUAUCUGAAAUGGCACCAAACAUAUGUGAUUGAUUUUAUAGGGAUCUUCAUAUCUAAUCUUUUAUUUAUCUAGUGUCUUGCUCUUUUAUUUUAAUGUUUUGAUUGACAGGAAACUUAAUAGCUAUGUGGAAGUAAAAUUUUUGUCGCUUUAUCCAGAAGCAGCUCUGUACUUUGGACAUCACUGCAGGAAGAAAAAUGCCUGAGCCAUGAGGGUCAACCACAAAGUUCCUGAAUCCUGCCUAUAUCUGAUCCUCUUUUCAAGAGGGAUCUGCAGAAAUUGUCUACAUGGAGGCUGCACAUAGACGGAUCAAGAUUUUUUCUGCCUAGCUUUUGAGCAAGAACAAGAUUGCAUUGGUUUGAAAUAGACACUGCAAAUGUAACCUUUGCUGGCAAUGACAAGGCUUUUUUUCUAGAGAUAUUCUUGUUAGCUGUGCUUAUCUGAAUGUGUUAGCAGUUGACUCAUGAAAAAAUACUUAUUGUUGGCUGCAAAGUAGUUUUCGAAAUUGAACAUGUAUCUCCUAAGGAUUUUCUGCCUAAAGGCAAAGGUCAUAAAAAGGUCUGUGAGUCCUGAAAUCUUUUUUUAGUGCCUCAGAAUAGGAAAUCACAGACAUAUUGAUCCUGGAUUUGCAGUCAGAUUUCACUCUUUACAAAAAUGAAUUUCAUUCCAGUUCAGAAUCUCCCUAUGCUGUUACAGUAUAGCCAUAUGAGUAACUAAAAUAAUGAGUUGUGAGUGUUGCAGAGUCUUCAGGUAGAAUGAGAUCAUCUUACAGUGUAACAGGUUGGAGAAAAUCAUGAAGGAGCCUUGGAAUGGAAAGCUG